rnacentral:lncRNA from 1 species
UUUCAGCCCUCAUUGUGUUGUUUCACACACCGCCCGUUACUCGUGGCUGAAGGGCAUUUGCUCCCUGCACGAAGUGAUCUGCCUCAGCGUGGGCUCAGGCUCACAGAGGUCUCCAUCGCAUCUGCUGGCUCUGACCUGCCGCUGAUCUGAAAUGCUAAAUCCAGGGAUACCAGGAAGAUGAUCCUGAUGGUUACAAGGGAUGCCCGAAAUUGCAACUGGUUGAGACAAGCACUUGGGAAAGGUUUCAAGUCGUGUACUAUGGUUUUAAGUGUCAGGAGGUCAAGUUCGGGGGAUGAGGCACAGUGCUUGGGUCUGUAUAUUCUCAGGAGAGAUACCGAGGUCUGGCUGCUGUCAGAUAUGGUACAAAGAGAAAUCCUCUGUCUGAUCUGCUUUGAGUUUCUGUGUGCUACAGCUACAGGAAGCAGUAGCAAAACGGUCACAGAUGCACAGAACAGUGGUGUGCUUAGCAAAGGGUGCAAGACUGUUCUGUGUGCUGCUGGAGGAGAGCCCUGGCCUUGCUGCACCCCCAGGACAGAGCAAGCAGGUCUGCUGUGACCCAUCGCUGGGUCCUGGGCUGGGCUUCGGGGCUGCUCUCUGGAUGCUGCUGCAGGUCCGUGCUUCCAUAGAGGCACCGGGCAAAGCAAGUAGCAAAGGAAGAGCUGGGUCGUUUUGGCUUUGGUGGGUGUCAGCACUGGGUUAUCUCUUCACACACAAAACCACAUCCCAAGGGGGAAAGAUGUCGCAGAUCAUGUGGCAAAGGAUGGGGCCGAGCCUCAUAACGUCUUCAUCUGCUGAAAUAUGUUUCUGUUUUACUGAUUCCAGGCAGAAGCAUGCUGUGGCAGUCUCCUCUCUGACAGCAUCAUCUGCAGGUUUCAAGGGAUCAUUUCUAAUGGCUAGAAGAUUAGUUAAGCGGAGAGCCAGCCCCCAGCUUCAUGCAAGCGGUGUCUGUUUUCCCAAGGCUCAGCAACCACCACAAUCCCCAUCAAGUGCCAGUGUCAAAUAUGCACAUCGGCAGGGCAUCAGGGCAGAGAUGACGCGUGGGCUUUGCUCAAAGCAUUUCGGGUGGUGGUGGACGCUGCUGGCUCUGCAUCCCACACAUCGCACCCGACUCGAGGAGCUGCCAGCAGAGCUGCUAAGCCAGCACCACGUGCGUGCUGCUCCCCGUCUGGUGCACGGUGCAGUCAUAAAUCCUCCCCGGCACGGCGUUUUGUUUGUGGAUCUGGCAGGAGGAGAGCAUCUCCCCAGGAGCUGCAGCAACAGCGAGGGGCUGGAAGGCACCCGGCUCCCUGCAGCCCCAGCACCGGAGCCUCUGCGGGACUGCCCACGCUGCUCUCCCUGCCCGCGGGAUGGAGGCACGGCUUUUCUGCAGGCAUCACAUCCUCCUACAUGGCAGAGGCUGGGCAGGAUUGCUCUGUAGCUCACAGACCUUUUGACCACUGUUUUAUUUUCCUUUCAUUCUCAAGUCAACCAGAUUUACUGCUUGCAGAGUAAAUAUUGGUGCAACCCCCAAGGGUCAGCAUCUAGCAAAAUGAGUGGUGUUUGCUGAGGAGGUGAUGGGGGGGGCUGAGGAGUGGCAGACACCGACGCAGCCGUUUUGAGACUGCUCCCAACGCCGGUAUUUUGAUUUUUUUUCCCAGUUUCUAGCAAUACCACUUUUCUGCCACUCUGCCUCUCCAGAGUUUCUGCUGACAGGACAGAACUGCUGGUAGCAAACACAUUAUUCAUUGUGAUUGAGUGCCUAGUAAUUACUUUAUAUAUUUUUUCAAUUCUCAAAUUAAAACCAUUUACUAGUAGGAACAGAUGUUAAAUUCAGGACUCUUGUUGAUUGUUAGUGUGACACACACAUGAAAUGUUUUAAACUAGAAGGCUGAUUGAAUUUUAAAUAUGCUGAUCACACUGGUGAAAUUUAAAAUAAUUGAAACUGGGAAUAACUGAAACGUUUCCAAGAAGGGAUGACAGAGGUGGGGUUUGCUUUUCAAACCCAUGAUUGCACAAAUCAUGUUAAGCUCUGCAGAGGAAAUACAAUAAUUUUCUGUGUGUUGCGGAACCAACCAUGGACUUGCAUGGUACUUCGUGGUACUUUGGUACUUCAAAAUGGCAGGAGAAAAGAACUUAGAGAUGAACGUAGAAUCUAUUUUCAAAUCAAUACCUCAAAUGUUAUCCACACACUCUGUAGGAAUGUGAUUUUUUUGUUUGUUUGUUUAUUCAAUAAAAUUAUAUUUUUCAGGGAAUCCA